AACGAACGCUGGCGGCAGGCCUAACACAUGCAAGUCGAACGCCCCGCAAGGGGAGUGGCAGACGGGUGAGUAACACGUGGGAACCUUCCCUAUAGUACGGAAUAGCCCAGGGAAACUUGGAGUAAUACCGUAUACGCCCGAGAGGGGAAAGAUUUAUCGCUAUAGGAUGGGCCCGCGUAGGAUUAGCUAGUUGGUGAGGUAAUGGCUCACCAAGGCGACGAUCCUUAGCUGGUUUGAGAGAACGACCAGCCACACUGGGACUGAGACACGGCCCAGACUCCUACGGGAGGCAGCAGUGGGGAAUAUUGGACAAUGGGCGCAAGCCUGAUCCAGCCAUGCCGCGUGAGUGAUGAAGGCCUUAGGGUUGUAAACCUCUUUCAGUAGGGAAGAAGCGCAAGUGACGGUACCUGCAGAAGAAGCACCGGCUAACUACGUGCCAGCAGCCGCAGUAAAA
rnacentral:rRNA from 1 species